CGGCCUUCUCAUGGGUUAAGGAUUUGGCGUUGCUGUGAGCUGCAGUGUAGGUUGUCAGUGUGGCUUGGAUCUGAUGUAACUGUGGUGUAGGCUGGCAGCUGCAGCUCUGAUUCCACCCCUAGCCUGGGAACCUCCACAUGCCACACGUGCAGCCCUGAAAAGGAGAAAUUAAAGAGUCCAGGAUGGAAUCGAGGUUUCAGGCCCUUCUGUCCAGCAGGUUCUUACUGAGCACCAGCUCUGUGGCUUGAGGAAGUACCCCUUUAAUUCUGACAGAAACCCACCAUGUUCAAUGGGCAUUCUCACCCCAUUUUGCUGAUGGGCAAACUGAGGCUAAGGCAGGUGAUACAACCUCCCCAUGACCGCACAGGAAGAAGGGAGGUAGCCAGAAUUUGCACCAAGAAGGGACCACGAAAAGAUUUGAGAAUAUUCUCCUCCUUUUGAGCCAGAAUAGAAUGUUUGGUGGGGUCUGCAUUUGUGUCAAAGGACCAAGGGGGAGGGGGAGGACUUACCUGGAGUCUCUUGUGAGCUCCCCAUGGCCCUGACCCCUUAAUGUGCGUGGAAGUGCGCGUGUGACAUUUUUCAGAGGACACAGUACUGAGACUUGGUGACCCGUGAAGGGAUAUGAAAUAGCUCAUUUUGUAGAUUGGAAAACUAGAGAAGCGGGUGCAGGAUCGGGCUCCUGGGGGGACCAGCAGCCGAGGCCAGAGCUUUCCCAGGCAUCUCACACAGACUUCUUUCUGGGGCCAGAGGGCCCAGCUCUGGACACCUACCCACCCCCUGCCUCCCCUCCCCAUGCCCUGGCAGCAAAUAGGAGCGGCCACCUGUGAACAGACUGCUGUCCUGGGGUGAAAAACAUGAUCCCUGGCCUCGCUCAGUGGCUGCAGGAUCAGGGACAGGGGUCAGGGACACCCUUCAGAGAAGGUAUUUAGUGGCAGAGAACCAGACUGGGGCACUGGCCUUGGGGGCGCAGCAGGAGGGCUUCCCUCGGGGGGCGGGUGUCAGGGAGGCUCCCAGCUGCCCCCACCUUCCUGGGCACAGGCCAGUUCCACGUGGGAAUUCAAGGCCACUAAGCUGGGCCACUCCUUCUCCCCAGGUCCCUCUUGGGGGAUGCCCGCCCUGAGGGAGUGGGCACGACCUUCCCUCGCACUCUCCCCUGGCAUUGUCUAGACUGCCAGCCAUGCUGGGCUCCUUGGACUCCCCAGAGCCUACAGGAUGGUACCAAGUGCAAUGUUCAAUUCUCACCCUGCCCCCCAUUCGCUUAGUUCCCGCUUUGCUUGGAGAACUUAGUUCUUCAGACAGUCAUCUGUUCACUGAUUUGUUAACCAGCUAUUUAUUAAGUGCCUACUGUGUGCCAGGCACUGUGCCAGCUGCUGGGACAACAGCCAUGAACAAAGUCGCUGCCCUCCCGAUGCCUAAGUUCUAGCGUGGAACAGAGACGGUUUACAUUAUGCUGGACCGUGAUCCUCUCGACUGGGGACAAACUAAAGCAGAGAAAAGGGAGCACAGUCGGAGGGCCCUAGCUGAGAAGCUGCCGUUUGAGCAGAACUUGGAGGAAAUGAGCCAUGUGGAUCUCUGGGGGCAGAGGGAACAGCCACCAGGCAGGGAGCUGGCGUGUUCGCGGAACAGCGGGAAGACCAGCAGGUCUGGAGCAGAGGGAGGAGGAGACGGGUCAGAGGGGUGAAGUGAGGGCUGCUGUAAGGGCUUUGGAACGAGAUGGGAGUCAGUGGAGAAUGUUGAGCUGGGAUGUGAGGUGUCAUGUGAUCUGAUUGGGGUUUUUUUUUUCCCCCCCGCACUUGUGCCACAAGGAAGUUCCCCAGGCCAGGAUGGAACCCACGCCACAGUUGCAGCCUGCGCCACAGCUGUGGCAAUACCAGAUCCUUAACUCACGGUGCCACAGGGGAACUUUCCUGACUGGGAUUUGAUGGGCUCCCUGGCUGCUGUGUCAAGAGGAGAUUGAGGGGUGUGGGGGGCAGUUAGGAAGUUACUGCCGUAGCUGAGGGCCCGUGAGGGAGACCAGUGCGGUGAGAGCUGAGGAGGGAGCUCCAGCAUCUACUCCAGGUCUGGUUGAUUCCACAGCUACUUUAUGCAAAUACAAGCCAAUGAGGGACCUGUUCUGGUCUUCCUCCACUUUAAAGUAACACACUAAACAAAGUCUUGGGAGCUCUGGGAUGCAGGCUCAAUCCCCAGCCCGGCACAGGAGGUUAAAGAUCUGGUGUUGCCGCAGCUGCCACUCAGAUCUGAUCCCUGGCCCGGGAACUCCAUAUUGCCAUGGGGAGGUCAAAAAAGAAGCAGCAAAAACAGGAAGAGGCCAGGGACACAGCCCUCUGGGGGACAUCGAGCGUGCUACAGAAAUUUCAGAUGCACUCAGCCUUUAACCUGGCCACCCGUUUCUAGAACGGAUCAUAUGGCCACAGCUGCACACAGCAACUUGACUUAGGUUCAGGGCUACUCAUUGUAGCAGCAACAUGUUGAACACACCCAAUAUCUCUCCAUGAGGAUCUGGUUAAAUCAAAGCAGUGCAUAUACCUAUACACACCUUUUCAGCUCUGGGGACCU
rnacentral:lncRNA from 1 species